rnacentral:rRNA from 1 species
GGGCGCAAGCCUGAUCCAGCCAUGCCGCGUGAGUGAUAGAAGGCCUUAUGGGUUGUAAAGCUCUUUCACCGGGGAAGAUAAUGACGGUACC